rnacentral:rRNA from 1 species
GAUGAACGCUGGCGGCGUGCCUAAUACAUGCAAGUCGAGCGAACGGACGAGAAGCUUGCUUUUCUGAUGUUAGCGGCGGACGGGUGAGUAACACGUGGAUAACCUACCUAUAAGACUGGGAUAACUUCGGGAAACCAGAUCUAAUACCGGAUAAUAUUUUGAACCGCAUGGUUCAAAAGUGAAAGACGGUCUUGCUGUUACUUAUAGAUGGUUCCGCGCUGCAUUAGCUAGUUGGUAAGGUAACGGCUUACCAAGGCAACGAUGCAUAGCCGACCUGAGAGGGUGAUCGGCCACACUGGAACUGAGACACGGUCCAGACUCCUACGGGAGGCAGCAGUAGGGAAUCUUCCGCAAUGGGCGAAAGCCUGACGGAGCAACGCCGCGUGAGUGAUGAAGGUCUUCGGAUCGUAAAACUCUGUUAUUAGGGAAGAACAGAUGUGUAAGUAACUGUGCACAUCUUGACGGUACCUAAUCAGAAAGCCACGGCUAACUACGUG